CGGUUAUGCUGGCUGACAGGAUGUUAUUAAUUACUAAUGCAUAUUGAUUUGGAGAUUUAAAAUGGCUUUAACAACCGAACAGAAACAGACAAUUGUCAAAGAAUAUGGCCGCGGCGAA
rfam:Pseudohongiella spirulinae strain KCTC 32221, complete genome.